GAGCUAUGAGGAAUUCUGCGCACUAUUGAUGGAUGGGGUCCAUCAGCAUCAUCUGAACUUCAGAUGAAAUCAAGCGCAACUGAGCUC